rnacentral:lncRNA from 1 species
UUUGGACUUCUCAGGAACUCAAAAUAUUAUUUAAAGAGUCUGGAGAUAUAUAUAUUUUAAAGUAGCAAUGCAUUUUCAGAGCACUUCAGAGCCACAGUUUACUUUUCCCCCUUAACAGGUCUGUGUGGUAUUCUCAGAACUGAUAUUCUUGCUUUAGAUACAAUGGAUUGUAACCAUUUGUCUUUCUAAAUGAAUGCUAAAAGAUGUGCCAAAGGCCCUAAAGCAAUUUGAAACCAGACAGUGCAUUAGGAACACCAUUCCUCUGAUCUGGAAGGUUGCUUUAACCUCAAAAAGUGGGCCUUUUCAACUAUCGAGCUGAUUCUAAAUUUGAUAAAAUUUGCUACGUUAGGCUGGGCCAGCUUAGUCUUUCCUUUUCUUUGUAAAACAGAUUAGCUUGGAAAGAAACAUCAUUAUCGUCAGCACAUGCCGUAAGCAGCACAUUGUAAAAAGCACUCAGGUUGCUUCUCAGUGGUAUAUUAAUGUUAAAUAAAUCACAUUGCUUCUAUUAUUUUUGAGUAGGACCACUUAGUUAAUCGUUAGUGAGACAUGAAGUAGUAUCUUCUUUCAAAUUAAGAGCCCUUAACCAAGUCACUUUAAAUUGCAAUCAAUGAAAAUAAGAAUGCUACAGAAUCAGCGGUGGCUUCACAAUAAUUCAAAAUGAAUAUGCGACAUUCAGAAAACAUAGCAAGAGCUACAGUAGAUAAAAUGAAACAUGGAAAACUAAAUUCUUUCAACACUGUAGCCAGUUUUUAUAUAUUUUUGCUAGCUCUGCAAUGCUUCUAGAAGUACAGCAAGGCAAAGUAACUGCAAUUUUGAGUUCUAGGCUUAUCCAAACAGCAUGUCGGCAGAAGAGGCUUUAGUGGCUGCAUUAUAUAAGAUAAAUGACUCAUUGGAUCAGCUUCACAGGAAAAUGGACAUGAUAAAUGCGAAAAUGGAUGUUUCAAUUACUAAAACUAACUUAAACACAGAAAGUAUAAAUAAUACCAAUACAGAAACCACCCAGAAAUUGAUACAAGAACCUAUUUUGAUAUGGCAAACUGUGGAGGAAGUUAGGGGAAAAGCUGUUGUUCCUGAAGGUAAAGUAACACAACUGGAGAGAAAGAGAAAGAGAGCCCCAGCCCCACAGAGGCAAUUUGAUGAACAUAAGUUGACGCUUGCUAUGACUGAACUUAAAGAAAAACAGACGAAUUUGAGGAUUAGAGUUCACCUUUGGUGGACAUGCCCAAGGAUUAAGACACUCUGGGAGAUGAUUCAUAACGAAAUGAAAAAGGUAUUUUAUUAUACCCUUUUGAAGAAACCAGAGGCCUUUCUCCUGGGCAUGGUCAGCCAAUUGGUGUUAAAGAAAGAUAGAAUUUGUUUCAUGUAUGCAACAAUAGCAGCAAGAAUACUCAUUGUGAAGUACUGGAAGACACAAGAUUUAUCCAUUCGGGAAGAAUGGCAGAUGAAGUUGAUGGACUAUAUGGAAUUGGCGGAAACGACUGGCAGAAAUCCGAGACCAGGGAGAAGAGUUGGUGGAAGAAGACUGGAAAAGUUUAAGACUAUUUAUAGAAAUACUGUAAAAAUAAUGAAUGUUAGAAAAAUGUUGGAAUGAAGUUAUAUGGCUUUAGUAGAAAUGCUAUAAGGAAUCAAGUAUAAAUAGAUUAAUAGUGUAUUAAAGGGAAAAUAAGGCUAGAAUAUGUCAAGAUAAUUAUAGGAUAGAAAACAGAGGAAGAUGGAAAGGAACUGCUGAAAUAAUUAAUAGAAGUGGAAAACAAAAAGGGAGGUGUGAGGAGGUCGUGGAAAUAAGGGAAUGAAAGAUAAGACAUUGAAAUUGUUUUGUGUUUGAAAUGGUUUGUGUCUUGCUUUGUUAGUUUUAUGUUUUUCUUUUUUUCUUUUUCUUUCUUUCUUUUUUUGUCUUUCUGUUUUGUUGUGUUUAAACGGUUGAAAAUUAAUAAAUAUUAUUUUUUUAAAAAAAACAAAACAGCAUAUUGCAUAGCCUGGCUCUUACACUAGGAAAAGUUCUUUAAAAAGGGCAGUUGUAAAGGUGGGUAUUAACUAAAAACAGAAUUGAGGGGCGAGCAAGCUAUUCAUUCAAUACUUGAAUCAGGAAUUUGUGGAAAGCUCUCAGCUUUUCCAAAGUGGUUACAAACUGGAAAACAUAUUUAUCUACAGUCAACUGCUCUGGAGAUUUGGGGAAUCCCCAGAACAGAUUGGAGGAUGUAGAAGAUGGAGAGAAGAUUUGUCUGUUGUACAAGUGGAAGUACUUGUGUGAAAGGGAUAAUUUUGUUGAAUACAACCCAAGGAUUCUGUGGGGUGGGUUUUAAUGGGUAUGAGAGAAUAUAUUAAUUGCAAUUUAUCCCUCCAGGUGCCCAUGUGUAGGGGUUAAACAGAGUUUUAAAAUCCUACCCUUGCCAUCAAAAUUAAAAGCAUAGGAAUUAGGCUGUAAAACCUUGUUCUGAGCAAGUCCAAGUAUGAAGUAAGCCAGCUCUCCCUCUCUUAUCCUACUUACCAAUGAAUCAGGCAACAGCUUGGGAAGUAAGUUUCAAAAUAUAAUUUACCUGCUUAUAAUCUUGCAUAGGUUCACUGCAAUGGCAGCACUAAAAACUAUGCAGGCAAAAUACUUAUAUUUACAGUAAACAGCAAGCACAGGGCAUGUGUGCCUUCAUAGCUGGUCGAAGGAAGAGAAGGGGGAACAGGAAUUACGAUAAGCUCCUUCGUCUACAGCAGAAGAGGGGAAAUGACAUUACACUGAGCCCUCUCUACCAAUUCACAGAAGCACAGAACUGUAGAGUUGAAAGGGACCCUAAGGGUCAUCUAGUCCAACCCCCCGCAAUGCAGGAAUCUCAGCUAAAGCGUCCAUGGCAGAGGGCCAUCCAAACUCUGCUUUAAAACCUCCAACGAAGGAGAGUCCACAACCUCCGGAGGGAGACUGUUCCACUGUGCUCACUGUCAGAAAUUUUUUCCUGAUGUUCAGUCGAAAAUGUAUUUAGUCGGAAUUGUAUUUCUGUGGUCUGAGCAUCGGCCUAUCAAGAACGCAGCUUGGUGCAUAUAACCCUUUCUCAUCCUAACUAGCAAGAACAUGCAUUCGUUGGGUUUGGCUGUUAAUGAGAGCCAGUGUGGUGUAGUGGUUAAGAGCGGUGGACUCGUAAUCUGGUGAACCAGGUUCGAUUCCCUGCUCCUCCACAUGCAGCUGCUGGGUGACCUUGGGCUAGUCACACUUCUCUGAAGUCUCUCAGCCCCACUCACCUCACAGAGUGUUUGUUGUGGGGGAGGAAGGAAAAGGAGAAUGUUAGCCGCUUUGAGACUCCUUCAGGUAGUGAUAAAGCGGGAUAUCAAAUCCAAAGAUGAUGGACUUUUCGGAGCUAGCCAACCUGACUGGAAGAGUCCGCGACCAGAAGGAGGAGGAGUACCAGGAAGAAUGGAUGAAAUUUAAAGAAUAUUUCUUUAAAUACGUUAAGAUAACUUAACUGGAAAAACUUGCAAAUAUCAGAUAGGGUUAGGAUUUAAAUAUGUGAUGUUAGAGAAUAAUAUGUUUAAAGUUAAAAUGAAAAGAAAGAAAGAUGUUAAGUGAUUAAGUUAAUAUUAUGAGACAAAUUGGUUUUGGAAAACUGUUACAAUGAUACACAGUGAAAUUCAGCUAGGGGGAUUUGAGGAAGUCACUUAACAAUGUCACUAAGAUUGGAUGAAGUUCAGUUAUUUUUGUUUGUUUGUUUGUUUGUUUGUUUAAAAUUUUGGAAAACCAAUAAAAAUUUUUGAAAAAAAUAAUAGUGUGUGUGUGUGUGUGUGUGUGUGUGUAUAAUAUAUGUUGUUGUUGUUUAGUCGUUUAGUCGUGUCCGACUCUUUGUGACCCCAUGGACCAGAGCACACCAGGCACUCCUGUCUUCCACUGCCUCCCACAGUUUGGUCAAACACAUGCUGGUCGUUUCGAGAACACUGUCCAACCAUCUCGUCCUCUGUCGUCCCCUUCUCCUUGUGCCCUCCAUCUUUCCCAACAUCAGGGUCUUUUCCAGGGAGUCUUCUCUUCUCAUGAGUUGGCCAAAGUAUUGGAGUCUCAGCUUCAGGAUCUGUCCUUCCAGUGAGUACUCAGGGCUGAUUUCCUUCAGAAUGGAUAGGUUUGAUCUUCUUGCGGUCCAUGGGACUCCAGCACCAUAAUUCAAAAGCAUCAAUUCUAAGGCGAUCAGCCUUCUUUAUGGUCCAGCUCUCACUACCAUACAUCACUACUGGGAAAACCAUAUCAAAUAUCUUAAGGGCUGUCACAUGGAGGAGGGAGCAUGCUUGUUUUCUCCUGCUCCAGUGGCUAGGACCCGAACCAAUGGCUUCAAGUUGCAAGAAAGGAGAUUCCGAUGAAACAUUCGGAAAAAACUUUCUGAUGGUAAGAGCUGUUCAGCAGUGGAACAGACUCCCACAAGAGGUGGUGGACUCUCCUUCCUUGGAGGUUUUUAAGCCAAGGUGGGAUGGCCAUCUGUCAUGGAUGCUCUAGCUGUAAUUCCUGCAUUGCAGAGGGUUGGGCUAGAUGACCCUUGGGACCCUUCCAACUCUAAGAUUCUAAGAUGAGAUGGUAGGAGAGGGUGAGUUAUGAUUCCUUUAAGAAAAACAAACCUACAGGAGAAUAUUUUCUGGCCCGCGCAAACCAACAAAAACCAGAAUUCAAUAGCAUUCUUUAUUUAUGAUAAAGGUAGAUUUCAAAGAAAUUUACAUGAAUAGAAGCCAGUUUUCCAUGGAAAUACAAUGCGUCAGUGGUUUGUUUUGGAUACAGAAUGGUGUCACACAACGUUUAUAGGUAAUUGUUAUAGCUUUUUUCUAACAGCUCUUGAACUCCUUACAAAGAUUUCCUCUAACUUACACUUACAAGUUGCACCUGUGUCGUGCAGCGACGGGUAGAGAGGCAGGCUGGAAGAGUUGAAGGAACGGUUGGGUCACAGAGGCAGAACAACGCACAAUCAUGAAAUAUAACCUCUGUAAAUCAGAGAAUCAGGCUCCAGUUAUAAAGAUGUGGAAAGAAGUUUAACAAACAAGGUUGACAUGCAGGCCUUGAUGCUGUGUU